AUUGAACGCUGGCGGCAUGCCUUACACAUGCAAGUCGAACGGCAGCACGGACUUCGGUCUGGUGGCGAGUGGCGAACGGGCGAGUAAAGUAUCGGAACGUACCUUUCGGUGGGGGAUAACGUAGCGAAAGUUACGCUAAUACCGCAUAUUCUGUGAGCAGGAAAGCAGGGGAUCGCAAGACCUUGCGCUGAUUGAGCGGCCGAUAUCAGAUUAGCUAGUUGGUGAGGUAAAGGCUCACCAAGGCGACGAUCUGUAGCGGGUCUGAGAGGAUGAUCCGCCAGACUGGACCUGAGACACGGUCCAGACUCCUACGGGAGGCGGCAGUGGGGAAUUUUGGACAAUGGGGGCAACCCUGAUCCAGCCAUGCCGCGUGAGUGAAGAAGGCCUUCGGGUUGUAAAGCUCUUUCGGCCGGGAAGAAAUCGUAUCAGCUAAUACCUGGUGCGGAUGACGGUACCGGCAUAAGAAGCACCGGCUAACUACGUGCCAGCAGCCGCCGUAAUAC
rnacentral:rRNA from 1 species